AAGGCGAUCGGGGAGGCGACUUCUGCGUGCUCCGCGGAGGUGCGCAGGCGCCGUGGCCCGACUGGGGACUUUGUUCUCCGCGGAGAGACCCAAGGGCGGUGCCGGUGGCUAGCUGCGCACGCGCGCCGCCUCAUUUCCGGUGCUCUCUUUCGCUGGGUCGCUCGGGUCGGCUUCGGUCGCCGUCGCUCCCGCUCUCCCACCCCCGCCAACCGCCGCUCGGGCCUUUGCCGCUGCCGCGUCGCUUCCUCGAUCCCUUCGAUCGCACAUCCUCCCCAAUGCAGCGCCGGGACGACCCCGCCGCACGCAUGAGCCGGUCCUCGGGCCGCAGCGGCACCAUGGACCCCUCAGGUGCCCACCCCUCAGUGCGUCAGGCACCGUCUCGGCAGCCACCCCUGCCUCACCGGUCCCGGGGUGGCGGAGGGGGGUCCCGGGGGGGCGCCCGGGCCUCUCCCGCCACGCAGCCGCCACCGCUGCUGCCGCCCUCGGCCACGGGUCCCGACGCGACAGUGGGCGGUCCAGCGCCGACCCCGCUGCUGCCUCCCUCAGCAACUGCCUCCGUCAAGAUGGAGCCGGAGAACAAGUACCUUCCCGAACUCAUGGCUGAGAAGGACUCGCUCGACCCGUCCUUCACUCACGCCAUGCAGUUGCUGACGGCAGAAAUUGAGAAGAUUCAGAAAGGAGAUUCAAAAAAGGACGAUGAGGAGAAUUACUUGGAUUUAUUUUCUCACAAGAACAUGAAGCUGAAGGAGCGGGUGCUGAUACCUGUCAAGCAGUAUCCCAAGUUCAAUUUUGUGGGGAAGAUCCUUGGACCACAAGGGAAUACAAUCAAAAGACUGCAAGAAGAGACUGGUGCAAAGAUUUCUGUUUUGGGCAAGGGCUCAAUGAGAGACAAAGCCAAGGAGGAAGAGCUGCGCAAAGGUGGAGACCCCAAAUACGCCCAUUUGAAUAUGGAUCUGCAUGUCUUCAUUGAAGUCUUUGGACCCCCAUGUGAGGCUUAUGCUCUUAUGGCCCAUGCUAUGGAGGAAGUCAAGAAGUUUCUAGUACCAGAUAUGAUGGAUGAUAUUUGCCAGGAGCAGUUUCUAGAGCUUUCCUACUUGAAUGGAGUACCAGAGCCCUCUCGCGGACGUGGAGUGCCAGUGAGAGGCCGGGGAGCUGCACCUCCUCCUCCACCUGUUCCAAGGGGCCGUGGUGUUGGACCACCUCGGGGGGCUUUAGUGCGUGGUACACCAGUGAGAGGAGCCAUCACCAGAGGUGCCACUGUGACUCGAGGGGUGCCACCCCCACCUACUGUGAGGGGUGCUCCAGCACCAAGAGCACGGACAGCAGGCAUCCAGAGAAUACCUUUGCCUCCACCCCCUGCACCAGAGACAUAUGAAGAAUAUGGAUACGAUGAUACAUAUGCAGAACAGAGUUACGAAGGCUACGAAGGCUACUACAGCCAGAGCCAAGGGGACUCAGAAUAUUAUGACUAUGGACAUGGGGAGGUUCAAGAUUCUUAUGAAGCAUAUGGCCAAGAUGACUGGAAUGGGACCAGGCCGUCGCUGAAGGCCCCUCCAGCUAGGCCAGUGAAGGGAGCAUACAGAGAACACCCAUAUGGACGUUAUUAAAAACAAACAUGAGGGGAAAAUAUCAGUUAUGAGCAAAGUUGUUACUGAUUUCUUGUAUCUCCCAGGAUUCCUGUUGCUUUACCCACAACAGACAAGUGAUUGAAAACUCCUGAGGGAUUUCCUGGAGUAGAAUGGGUAGUGAAGACCCCUGUCAGGAACAGCAGCCUGAGAGUUAGGACCCAUAAGGCUUCUUGCGUACACAUAUGCAGAGUACUCCCCAGCCAAGUGAACAAGGUGGAAAAAGGUGGUGGUGGUGGAUGUUUUGCCCAGCCGUCAGAGGACUCCGGAAACCAGGAGAGCUGCCUGCUGUGUCAAGGCUGGCCCGAGGGCAUUUGCUGAGCACAGAGAAACCCUGGAGAGGAGACCAGCAGUCUUUCCCACCCCACCUCUCCAUCUGAUUUACCCACAGAAAGCCAGCCAGGAUCCCCUAAAAGAGGCUCUAGGCCCAGAAUGGAGUCCUUAGGGAUGCAGGGGACUGUGAUGCUAACAGUUAAACUUGCUCAGGACUUCAAAGAAUUGAAGGGGACUAACAGUAUCCUCAGCAUGGCCUCCUAGAUGUGAAUAAACUGGCAACUCCUACCAUGUCAGUCCCAGUUUGCCUGCUUCCCCUUAGUCCCCAGCAGAACUGUCUGGAACAUGGUGCCGCCACCUCCUGUUUCCCACCCUGCCACACGUGUGUUGUGGUGCCAGCCUUGGACACAUCCAGAGGGCUCCCAGAGACAGGCUGCUCCCCGCCUCUGUGACAGGCUGAGAGCCAGGUGAGAAGGUCCCUGCACUUGGGCAAGUUGUUUAACCUCGGAGCCUGUUCUCUCUUUGUCAUUGAUUACUAACCUUGUCCAAGAAAGCUCCUCAAGAGUAGGGUAGGGCUUUUCCCACUUCACCUCUGGACUAUAUCUCUUCCCCAACAAACAUCUGGCACUAAGGAGCUCAAUAAAAACAGCCAAGUGAUGAUUGGCCCCACACUGGUAGCUUCUAUCAGCUUUGGGAGAGAGCCAGAGUUCCCCUGUCUAGCUCCCCUCUGCUUCCAGCUAAACUGGGCUAUUUGUCCUAACAUUUUCUUUUGGAGAAUUGGAAAGUCAGCCUUUGCUAGACUUCUGGUUUCCUAUGACCUAUGCCAUAGUCUGAUUUUAACCCUGAGCUUCUGAGAGGAAUGCUGCACCCUUCCUUCACUGCCUUCUGGUUAGUUAUCCUAACAAAGGAACGAGGGGAAGGGCUGAGUUUGGAGAGAGCAUGCCUGCAUUUUAACUGUGCCUGAGGCAUUCUAAUGAGCUUUGGAUUCAUUCUUAGCAAGAAAGGGACCUUGAAAUCAGUUGAUUUACUUUGGGCAAGUUUUUUAACCUCUAAGCCCAUUUUUAUCUUCAUUAUUGAUAAAGUAAAUAACAGCUAAUAAUUUAUUGAAUGCUCAGUUGUACCAGGCACAAUGUCAAGCAUUGCGUGUACUAUUUCACUUUAAUACUUCAAUCCAUUACUCUCAUUUUAGAGAUGAAGAAACAGAGGCUCAAGGAGGAUAACUUGCCUAAGGUUUAGAAAAGAUGCUAUCAUGCUUCAUAGUCCCUGUGUUUGACCUGUUUGUACCUCUUAACAGCCACAAGUACUUUGAAACAGUAAAGCACUGUGUUUGAGAGACUUAGGGUGACAAACCAGGUUUACCCAGGACUGAGGAGGUUCCUGGGAUGUUGGACUUCCAGUCCUAAAACAGGAACGUCCCAGGCAAACUGAGUUGUGUUUGUCAAUCUGUGUUUACAAUGAGACUCGGUACAGGUUUGGCCACUGGGGUUUCAUUUUCCCCAGCUUCUUGGUCUCCUAGGCCUCAUCUUGUGGCCAUAUUCUUUACCUAGCAAUUGGACCUGCUUCAGUCCAGCAGGCAGAGGAGGAGUUUGGGGUGGGGAGUCAGAAACAGAUGGCAUCCUGGUCAUAGAAAGAUGGAGGUACAAAGCUUGGGUCAUUAUUUGAGAAGCCAUUGCUAGGAUCCUAGGAAGCCUUGCCCACAAUCCAUAAAUGCAGGGUAUCUUAUUGGCAGCCAUGGAAUUACAAGAAAGCUCCCUGGGCCAGAGCCAAACAGAUCUGGAUUCAAAUCCUAGCCCCUCACUUGCUGUGUAUUUUUCUGGGCCUGUUUACUCUGUAAAAGUAGAAUGGUAAUCCCAAUCUACUGUAUGGGAUCUGAGGAGCAACUUCAGUGUGUGUGAAAUGCCUAGCACAGGGUCUGUGCAUAAUACUGCUCAACACUUGUUUCCUUCCUCCUCUUUUCCAGCUUGUGUUUCUUACCCAGCCCUGUCACCUGUCACGUCUGUCACAUACUCCCUCCUCUCCUUACCACUUGCAGCCCUAGGGAUUUUCCUUUGCGAGCCCUGACCUAGUGGGCUUGGCCCACCCACCCAGCUGCCCUACCUGUCAGUCACCUCCCCUGCAAGCAGAGAAGGGAUGACAUCAGCUUUUCCCCCCUCCCCUAUGGGAAGCCUCUGGACUGUUUUGAGCCAUAAAUAUUUUAGCUGGGCCUUUCUCUGGCUGUUGCCAGGGUGAUGGACUCUCAGGGGACCAGAGUGGGAGUGUGCAGGCGGGGUUCAGCAACCUGGGGCCUAGCAGCAGAACUGGCCCUGGAGGGGUGGGUGUGAAGCCUGGCCAAGAGCCGGUGCUUGCAGCAGUUCUGAGGACUGUUGCUUUGUCUGCCUGCCUUCCCUUUCCUGGGCCCCUACAAGCCGUUCCUGCUGCUUCCAGCCCCAGCCUCUUGAGUGCUACUUGAUCUUGGGUAAAUUGCUAAAUAUCUCCGGGCCUUCAUUUUAACAUUUGUAAUGGAAAAGCUCCUUAGUGUGAGUAAGUGGAGAAGAAAAGGUAAAGGUUUUGUAGAAAUUCUAUGAAACCCUAGUUUGGUUUGUAAGCCAUGAUUGGAGAAGCUUGACUCCCUAGUCUUUUCUGAUAGACCUACAGGCUGGGGUCCCAGGGCAAUGUGGAUGCUUCUCUAAAGGUCAGUUGUUGGGUAUGGCACUGCCUCCCAUUCUCCUUCCCCAUUCCUCAUGCUUAUAGCCUCAGCUCCUUUUCUAAAGUUCCCAGGCCUAGCUAGACUCCUGGCCUGGCAUGGGGUAUUCUGAGAAGGAAUUUGGCCUUUAUGAGCAGAGCUGAUGAAAGCCUUUUUGCUUGAGAUACAGAAACUUGGGCCCCCAAACUGGAUCUGGCCCUCACUCUACGCACCAUCCUAGAGAUCUUAAAUCUGGCUAGCUGCUGAGCUCUACCUUCUGGCAACAUGUCCCACCCCUCUCCUUGGAAUGGGUCUUAGAAACAAGAGGGCCAGAGAGGGGGCACGUGGAUCCAUGCCCCACCCCUACCAUUGUGAACCUCUGCAUCUGAUCCAGAAUUCUACAUCCCCUGCCCAACCCUGCCCACCAGUUUUCCUGUGGAGCUGGAGGUCUGGUUCAUUUGUAUCAAGCUCCCUCUGGUGGUUGAGAUGUGCAUUGCAGGGAGGUAAGAUCUCAGACCAAAUUGCAGGCCACCCUGAAAGGUGGGAUGGUUUGCUCUAUACCAAGAAGAAUCCUUGAUCUCAACUAAUGACAGUCAUUCCAUUUCCUAUACAGGAUAACUCCCAUAUGUUUUCAUCUCUCUGUCAUUAAUCCUUAGAAUUCAUUGACAUAAUUAGCCUAGUUUUACAGAUGAAACAUGGUUAGAGAGGUGAAAUCAAAUCUAGACUUCACUGUAUGUAGUAUGUAGCAUUUAAGAUCCUCAAGUGAUAAGAACUUAACCUGUUUUUCCAGCCUCAUAAUCAGUUCCUCUCAAGCCAAAAUGACUUGCUCUUCUGGAACAUAGCUUGCAUCUAGACCUUUGCUCAUGCUGUUUUCUCUAUCUUUGUUCCUCCCCCCACCCCGCCCGCCCCAAGUACCUUACCUGCCAAAAUCCUAUCCAAGUUUGAAAAACUAAAGAAAUACAGUAUUUUUUCAAGCUUGCAUAUAUUAUCUUUGUAAUAAUCAAGUUUUAUAAAACAUGGGAAUACAAAUGUCUAAAUGAGAACAGGUAGGUGGGUUGUCCCUGAAAUGUGGAAGGUUGGAUGGGGAGACUAACAUAUACCUGGAAGUGAAAAUGGCCCAGAAAAUUAGAAGAACGCAACAUCUGGAUUCUCUUAUAGGUUCUUGUAGUUAAAAAAAAAAGAUGAAAGUAUUCUUAGUGGCAGAAGAAAGCAAAUCUCUGGGAAGCUGAGAUAGAGCUUUAGGUGACAUUUCUUCAAAGUCUUUGAUCUUAAAUUCACAUUAGUUUUCUUUGCACUUCGUAAUAUAUCCAAGUUUUAAUAAUACAAACAAACUUACUUGUAAAACA